UACGAAGGGGGCUAGCGUUGCUCGGAAUCACUGGGCGUAAAGGGUGCGUAGGCGGGAUCUUAAGUCAGAGGUGAAAGCCUGGAGCUCAACUCCAGAACUGCCUUUGAUACUGGGAUUCUUGAGUUCGGGAGAGGUGAGCGGAACUGCGAGUGUAGAGGUGAAAUUCGUAGAUAUUCGCAAGAACACCAGUGGCGAAGGCGGGUCCCUGGGCCGAUACUGACGCUGAGAAGCGAAAGCGUGGGGAGCGAACAGG
rnacentral:rRNA from 1 species